AUGCCAAUGAUUCAGAAACCUCUUUCCCUCCUCUUUCACAUUUUCCUGUUUUCCUCAUUGCCACUGAUCACAACCGCAUCAUCAUCUCCAACACCAAGAGCACAGGCAGAGGCCCUGAUCAAAUGGAAGAGAAGCUUUUCUUCUUCUUCUUCUCCACCACCUUCACUUCUCCAUUCAUGGUCCCUCACUAACAUCAACAACCUUUGCAACUGGACCGGAGUUGCGUGCGGCGAUCACACCACCAAAACCAGAACAGUCUGCAAAAUAGACCUCUCCAACAUGAACAUCACUGGAACAUUAAGCCGAUUCGACUUCAUCCGGUUUCCCAAUCUCAGUCACUUCAACCUCUUCGGCAACAAUUUCAGUGGACAAAUUCCAUCUGCCAUUGGCAACCUCACCAGCCUCACAUUCUUGGACUUGGGCAACAACAUUUUUUAUCAAGAAAUACCAUCUGAGAUAGGCAGGCUAGCAGAGCUGCAGUACUUGAGUUUCCACAACAACAAUCUCUAUGGUGCCAUCCCUUAUCAGCUAAGCUAUCUCCAAAAGGUAUGGUACUUGGACCUUGCAUCAAACAUCUUUAUAUCUCCUGAUUGGUCCAAGUUUUCAGGCAUGCCUUCAUUGACCUACCUUGAUAUUCAUGAUAAUACACAUCUAAAUUCAGAUUUCCCAGAUUUCAUAUCCCAUUGUUGGAACUUGACAUUCCUUGACUUGUCUCAGACUAAUAUGACUGGCCAAAUACCAUCAGCAGUAUGUAACAAUCUGGCCAAACUUAAGGAUUCCUAGUAUAUUAUGGAUUGAACCAAACCUAAUCUAAAUGCAACAAGGACACACGAUUACUUCUUGAUAGGCAAGGUAUCGAUGUGAUGCAUAUAUAAAUAGAGGUCCCUUCCCUUGCAGCAACUCUCUCUCAAAUCAGAUCUCACCCUAUCUAAGAGAAAGAGAAACUAAAGUGCUGCAAAAGGGAAGAAGACUCUCUACAAGAAAUCGUGAUACUCUACUGCUACCAUGGCUGAACUAGGUUAGUAUUAUAGUUUAAAAGCUUAGUACAGACUUACACUGGCUUCCAAUAAACUCAAUGGAGAAUUGCCUCUGUCCUUGUCCAAUCUGAACAACAUCAAUCAAUUGGGUUUAUCUGGAAAUCUUCUUACAGGUCCCAUCCUGCCUUCCCUUAUCUCCAAUUGGACUAAAGUGGACUCUUUGCAACUUCAAUACAAUAAGUUCAGUGGGAAUAUUCCAGCAGAAAUUGGCCUGUUGACAAAGCUCAACUACCUUUUUCUAAACAAUAAUAGCUUAUCUGGAUCAAUUCCCUCAGAGAUUGGUAACUUGAAAGAUUUGACAGGAUUGGCUCUUUCGGGAAACCAGCUCUCAGGGCCAAUUCCUAUGACACUGUGGAACCUCACAAAUAUUAAGAGAGUCGACCUUUACUUCAACAAUCUCACUGGCAUGAUUCCACCAGAGAUUGAAAAUAUGGUGUCACUGGAGGAAUUUUAUGCAGACAAUAACCACCUGUAUGGAGAGUUGCCAGGCACCAUUUCUCGGCUUACUAAAUUAAAGUCAUUCUCUGUGUUCACCAAUAAUUUUUCGGGAAGCAUUCCGAGGGAUUUUGGCAGGUACAGUCCUAAUUUGACCAUUCUGCGCCUUUCGGACAACAGCUUUACGGGAGAGCUCCCACCAGAAUUGUGUAGCGGUUCUGCUCUGGAAGAAUUGUCUGUAGGUGAUAACAACUUCUCUGGGUCAUUGCCAAAGUGCUUGAGAAAUUGUUCAAAACUACGAACAGUUGCUGUUGGUCACAACCAAUUCACGGGAAGCUUUACAAAUUCAUUUGGUAUUCAUCCUAAUCUUAACUCUGUUUUUCUCAGCAAUAAUCAAUUUGUUGGUGAAAUCUCACCAGAAUUGGGAGAAUGUGAAAGUCUCAUUCGCUUAUUGAUGGAUAGAAAUAAAAUUUCUGGUCAAAUCCCAUCUGAGCUUGGGAAGUUGAGCAAAUUGGGAGUACUAAUCCUGGACUCUAAUGACUUGACUGGAUACAUUCCGGCUCAGUUGGGAAACUUAGGCCUACUGUUCAAGCUCAAUCUGAGCAAGAAUCAUUUGACAGGAGACAUCCCCAAGAGUCUAAGCAAUUUGACUAAUCUCGAGUUGCUUGAUUUAUCCAAAAACAAUUUGUCAGGAAACAUCCCCAUAGAGCUUGGUAAGUUUGUGAAGUUGUCAACUUUAAAUCUGAGCCACAACAAUUUAUUUGGUCAAAUACCACCAGAGCUUGGUAAUUUGCCCUUGCAGUACUUGUUGGACCUCAGCAGCAAUUCACUCUCAGAAUCGCUUCCUGCAAAACUGGCUAAGCUAAAACAUCUGCAGAUUCUUAAUGUUUCACAUAACCAUCUCUCAGGGAGCAUCCCAGAAACAUUUUCCCAAAUGGACAGUCUAUUUGGCAUUGAUUUCUCUUACAAUAACUUGACUGGUCCAAUCCCAACUGGUGCCGUUUUUCAAAAAGUGCAUGCAAAUGCCUUUGUUGGAAAUGAUGGUUUAUGCGGAGAUACGGAGGGACUAACUCCAUGCAACUCAAAUCAAGGAAAGUCCAACAAGUUUAACAAGAACAACAACAAAAUUCUAAUUGGUGUUUUUGUUCCUGUUUGUGGUUUAUUAGUGAUUGCUACUGUUAUUGCUCUUAUUCUUAUAUUCCGAAAGAAACCCAAGUUGCUUGAUGAUGAAACCAAAAGUUCUAAGUCUGAGAGCUUUGAUUCUAGUAUAUGGGAAAGAGAAGUGAAAUUUACGUUUGGAGAAAUUGUGAAGGCCACAGAGGACUUUGAUGAGAAGUACUGCAUUGGAAAAGGAGGAUUUGGAAGGGUGUACAAGGCAGAGUUGAUAUCAGGCCAAAUUGUUGCAGUUAAGAGGCUUAACGUAUCCAACUCUAGUGACAUUCCAGCAAUAAAUCGCCAGAGUUUUGAGAAUGAAAUAAAAACUUUGACGCAUGUCAGGCACCGCAACAUCAUUAGGUUAUUUGGGUUCUGUUCAAGAAGGGGUUCCAUGUUCUUGGUUUAUGAGUAUUUAGAGAGAGGCAGCCUAGGAAAAGCAUUGUAUGGUGUGGAAGGAGAUGAUGAACUUGGAUGGGGUACAAGGGUCAAAAUUGUGCAAGGACUAGCUCAUGCACUUUCUUACUUGCACAAUGAUUGUUCUCCACCAGUUGUGCACCGGGAUGUUUCUGUCAACAAUGUGUUGCUUGAGUGUGAUUUUGAGCCACGCCUCGCGGAUUUUGGAACAGCAAAACUGUUGAGCUCGGAUUCAACUAGCUGGACCAAUGUUGCUGGUUCUUAUGGCUACAUGGCACCAGAGCUUGCUUUCACCAUGCGUGUCACAGAUAAGAGUGAUGUGUAUAGCUUUGGAGUGGUGGCAUUAGAAAUCAUGAUGGGAAGGCACCCAAGGGAAAUGCUUGAGUCCUUAUUAGAGUCAUCAAAACCACUGAAGGACAACACAGAGUUGCUUUUAAAAGAUGUGUUAGACCAAAGGCUGGAGCCUCCAACCGGUGAACUGGCAGAGGCAGUGGUGUUUGUGGUGACCAUAGCCUUGGCCUGCACUCGUGCCCAACCGGAGUCACGACCCACAAUGCGUUAUGUGGCACAAGAACUAUCAGCUCGGACCCAGCCUUACCUCUCUGAACCAUUUGGUGCGUUAACCAUCAACAAACUAACUGGCCAUCAAAAAUAGAGGAAGAGAUUGAAACUAGUGGUAGUGUGUAUGCCAACCAAAUCUUAGUUCAAAAUGCAAAUAUAUAACUAGCUCUUUAUUGGUGUGUUUGUAUUGUGUGUACAUGCAUUGAGCCUAGUAACAAUGUUGGUUCUUGAUGCCCCAGAUGCAUGCUAGUUAAGAUAAUAAUCUUUUGGUCUAACCCAAAAGUUUUGAAUCUUUUGGCACUUGUACUAUAUAAUAGUGUAUAUAAUGUAGUUUCAUUUACAA